UACGGAGGGUGCGAGCGUUGUCCGGAAUCACUGGGCGUAAAGGGCGCGUAGGCGGCUGGGGAAGUCGGCGGUGAAAGCCCGGAGCUCAACUCCGGGUCGGCCGUCGAGACUCCUCGGCUCGAGCUCACUAGAGGCAGAUGGAAUCCGGGUGUAGCGGUGGAAUGCGUAGAGAUCCGGAAGAACACCGGUGGCGAAGGCGGUCUGCUGGGGUGAGGCUGACGCUGAGGCGCGACAGCGUGGGGAGCAACAGG
rnacentral:rRNA from 1 species